rnacentral:misc_RNA from 1 species
UACGUAGGGUCCAAGCGUUAUCCGGAAUUACUGGGCGUAAAGAGUUCGUAGGUGGUGCGUUAAGUGAGAUGCGAAAUCCUGUGGCUCAACCAUAUGGACUGUGUCUCAUACUGGCGUACUAGAGGAUGGCAGAGGUACAUGGAAUUACCGGUGUAGCAGUGAAAUGCGUAGAUAUCGGUAGGAACACCAAUGGCGAAGGCAGUGUACUGGGCCACUCCUGACACUGAGGAACGAAAGCGUGGGGAGCGAACAGG